UGAGACCUGUAGGUUUAGAGGGAAUGAGACCUGUAGGUUUAGAGGGAAUGAGACCUGUAGGUUUAGAGGGAAUGAGACCUGUAGGUUUAGAGGGAGUGAGACCUGUAGGUUUAGAGGGAGUGAGACCUGUAGGUUUAGAGGGAAUGAGACCUGUAGGUUUAGAGGGAGUGAGACCUGUAGGUUUAGAGGGAGUGAGACCUGUAGGUGUAGAGGGAGUGAGACCUGUAGGUUUAGAGGGAGUGAGACCUGUAGGUUUAGAGGGAGUGAGACCUGUAGGUUUAGAGGGAGUGAGACCUGUAGGUUUAGAGGGAGUGAGACCUGUAGGUUUAGAGGGAGUGAGACCUGUAGGUUUAGAGGGAGUGAGACCUGUAGGUUUAGAGGGAGUGAGACCUGUAGGUUUAGAGGGAGUGAGACCUGUAGGUUUAGAGGGAGUGAGAC